UCGAUCGAGAGAGCGGGAGAUCGCCGUCCGCCAAGAGACAAAGCGGCGGCCCGUUUCGUUUGGAUUCCUCCCUGCAGCGAUCGACGCCAAGAAAGAGUCGCCGUCCACCAAGAACAAGCGACGGCCCGUUUCCUUUGGAUUCCUCCUGCAGCGAUGGACGCCACGGUCCUCUUUCUCGCUAAGCCCCUCCUCGAUCCCCAAACUGUUUCGUAUACUACGUGGGGUGGGGUUGCCGAUGAGGCUACAUUCUCUUGCUAAGAUCGAACAAACGACGGCCCGUUUCUUUGGAUUCCUCCUGCAGCGAUGCACGCCACGGUCAUCUUUCUCGUGAAUAAUAAGCUUACCUCAAGACAGCACAGUAAAGAGAUAUUCCAGAUGAUCAUGAUGAUUUAGGUUGCUUUGUGUCCUGCAAAGAAUUUGCUUAGGAAGCUUAAUUGGAGGAAGAAUGAAGUGGAAGGCUAUAAUGGAGUCUAUGAAUCACACUCCUUCCAGAGAGACUCUUCAAGAUGUUGGUUGCAAUUUAAGCUGGAUGUUGAAAGCGAUUUGUUGUUCUGCAUCCUGCUCAGCAAGAGAGAGGGAGGCGAGGGGAUAAGGGGAAAGGUGGUGAAGGCGGAGGAGGAGGUGAGGAACAGAUUAGGGAUCGUGAUGACAAGGACUUCCCCGACAGUGACUUUGAUGUGGCAGCACUGGCUAUAAUAAUUUGAGCCAGGCAUUUCGAUGUGAUUUACAGUAACGACGGCAUUGAAGAGGCUCGAGGAUCUCUUGAACGAGGAUAUGAUGAGGUCUACUCGGAGGAUGGAUCCGCAUAAGUGAAUACACUGGUUUGCUUUUGAAAAUGGUUGAGGGGCCAAUGAUCGUUUAACUGAUGAGGUAGUCGCUGGUGGAAAUAAUGAUUUGAAAGACGUUCACUUCUUAAAAUAUCUUAUAUACAUAGGUGGGAACAGAGGAAGGGGUCAGAUUUAUCCUCCAGGACAAAAACUUCUGUAUCAUAGGAUGAAUCCAUCAAACUUGAUCAAUCAUUGACAAGCAAUCCCAUUAUAACUUGAAAUAGUGUUUUAAGAUCUAUUAGGCGUCCAAGGUUUUUUUGUUCUUCUUGGCAUAUGUUAUUUUGGCACAAGUUUUUUUUUUGUUCUUAAAAAGAAAUAGUUUGAAAAUUUUCAAUUGUACGAAAUGAAUUGCAGUUGGUAAA